AGCCAUGCCGCGUGUGUGAAGAAGGCCUUUUGGUUGUAAAGCACUUUAAGCAGUGAAGAAGACUCUUCGGUUAAUACCCGGAGACGAUGACAUUAGCUGCAGAAUAAGCACCGGCUAACUCUGUGCCAGCAGCCGCGGUAAUACAGAGGGUGCAAGCGUUAAUCGGAAUUACUGGGCGUAAAGCGAGCGUAGGUGGCUUGAUAAGUCAGAUGUGAAAUCCCCGGGCUUAACCUGGGAACUGCAUCUGAAACUGUUAGGCUAGAGUAGGUGAGAGGGAAGUAGAAUUUCAGGUGUAGCGGUGAAAUGCGUAGAGAUCUGAAGGAAUACCGAUGGCGAAGGCAGCUUCCUGGCAUCAUACUGACACUGAGGCUCGAAAGCGUGGGUAGCAAACAGGAUUAGAUACCCUGGUAGUCCACGCCGUAAACGAUGUCUACUAGUCGUUGGGUCCCUUGAGGACUUAGUGACGCAGCUAACGCAAUAAGUAGACCGCCUGGGGAGUACGGCCGCAAGGUUAAAACUCAAAUGAAUUGACGGGGGCCCGCACAAGCGGUGGAGCAUGUGGUUUAAUUCGAUGCAACGCGAAGAACCUUACCUGGUCUUGACAUAUCUAGAAUCCUGCAGAGAUGCGGGAGUGCCUUCGGGAAUUAGAAUACAGGUGCUGCAUGGCUGUCGUCAGCUCGUGUCGUGAGAUGUUGGGUUAAGUCCCGCAACGAGCGCAACCCUUGUCCUUAGUUACCAGCGGGUUAAGCCGGGAACUCUAAGGAUACU
rnacentral:rRNA from 1 species